GAUUACAAACUAUUAAUUCCUUUAUAGGUCAGCAGUUGCCAACCGGAGGUCCGCAGACCACUGGUGGUCCGUGAGGUCCGAAAGGUUGGCGAUCACUGUUUUAGACUAUAUGUGCACGAAUGGAACUAUUUCCUACAAGCAGGAACAUUAACCAAGACCUACAGAGAGAAGUUCCUGUC